rnacentral:rRNA from 1 species
UACGUAGGGCGCAAGCGUUAAUCGGAAUUACUGGGCGUAAAGCGUGCGCAGGCGGCUAUGCAAGACAGAUGUGAAAUCCCCGGGCUCAACCUGGGAACUGCAUUUGUGACUGCAUGGCUAGAGUACGGUAGAGGGGGAUGGAAUUCCGCGUGUAGCAGUGAAAUGCGUAGAUAUGCGGAGGAACACCGAUGGCGAAGGCAAUCCCCUGGACCUGUACUGACGCUCAUGCACGAAAGCGUGGGGAGCAAACAGG